CAUAAAUCAUGGUUUUACAAUGGAAGAGGCUGGUCGAAGAGCACAGCCUAAUGUAAACAGGUCCACAGUGUCAUCAAUUGUGCAAACCUUUCGUAGGGAAAACAGAACUGCACGACAACCUCGCGCUGGUGGCAGAGCAGCAGUAUUUAACCAACUGCAAGAACAAGAAAUUUGCAACAUGGUCAUAGCCAACAAUUCCAUCAGGCUAAGAGAGAUCCAAAGUGCAAUCAUAAAUGACAAUAAUGUCUUUGCAAAUAUAAAUUCUGUCAGCAUUUCCACCAUAGACAGAGUUUUAAAAAGACAUCAUGACUAUGAAACAGCUCUAUAAGGUGCCAUUUGAGAGGAACAGUGAAAGAGUCAAGGCGUUGCGGUACCAGUAUGUCCAGAGAAUCAUGGAGUUAGAAGUACAUGAAACGACCCACAUUCUUGUUUUUUGUGGACGAGGCUGGGUUUAAUCUGUCCAAAGGCCGGAGACGUGGUCGCAAUCUCAUUGGACACCGAGCCACAAUUGACACACCAGGCCAACGUGGGGCCAAUAUUACUAUGUGUGCUGCCAUUUCAGAGAACGGUGUGAGCACACAUAUUCCACACAUUGGGCCCUAUAAUACCCAACUUCUCCUGGCCUUCCUAAAUGCACUUUACAGAGACCUGAUUCCAGAACAAGAAAGAGGUUUAGUUAGACCACAUUUGCCUAAUUAUGUUGUUGUCUGGGAUAAUGUCAGCUUCCACCGAACCAACAGUGUUAGGGACUGGUUUGCUGCACAUGAAAGGAUAACAGUGGAAUUCCUUCCACCAUACUCUCCAUUCCUAAAUCCAAUAGAAGAGUUUUUUUCAGCAUGGAGGUGGAAAGUGUAUGAUCAUAGACCACAAAAUCAGAUGUCUUUGUUGGAUGCCAUGAAUGCUGCAUGUGAGGACAUCACAGCUGACCAUUGCAGGGGAUGGGUGCGGCAUUCAAUGAGAUUUUUUUCCACGGUGUGUGGCAAUGGAAAACAUCAGAUGUGAUGUUGAUGAAAAUCUUUGGCCUGACCAACGUGUGUGACAAGAUG